CUAUCUGAAUACUCCCUUUUAUAUGCAGGCCUCUUAUGGCUCUGUCUUCGUGGGUUGAACAAGGAGCUCAUCAUCGAUGGAGGCCCAACGGUGCCCUUAUUUAUAUCCGAGAUGAUUUUGAAGCAGUUGCCAUGAGUACAAUUUACCAAGAAUUCAUAGUAAGCACAGCAGUAGCAGGAGCUACGGUUGGUGCUGCAAUUGGUGGAUAGGUUAAAGAUUGGAAAGGUCGAAGAAUACCAAUCUUGGUAGCUGAUGUUUUGUUUUUUAUUGGUGCAUUAGUCAUGGCUGCCUUAAUACAUCCUCUGAUGAUAAUUUGUGGAAGGGUACUUGUUGGUAUGGGUGUUGGAAUGGCCUCCAUGACUGGACCUCUUUAUAUUUCAGAAGCUUCUCCUGCUAGAAUUAGAGGUGCCCUUGUUAGCACAAAUGCAUUGUUAAUUACAGGGGGGCAUUUUUUAGCAUACCUUAUUAAUUGGGCUUUCACAAAGGCACUUGGAACUUGGCGUUGGAUGCCUGGAGUUGGAGGGCUUUCUGCUUUGUUUCAGUUUAUAUUGAUGUGGGACUAUUUCAAUAUAUAGAAAUAUGAAUUAGCUUUUAAUUGUAUGUUAGACUUUUCAUUAAAUAAAAAUACUUUUUAUAAUA